GGCUGGGGUGGGACAGGGUGGCCAGAUAAAAGCAGAGCAGGACCUGGAAAGCUGGUUUGUAUGGGCUGCAGCCUGCUGCUGAGCUGCAUUAUGGUGCGGCCUGUGGCCUGGGCAGGUUUCAUGGUCCUGCUGAUGAUCCCAUGGGGCUGUGCUGCAAAACUGGUCUGCUACUUCACCAACUGGGCCCAGUACAGACAGGGGGAGGCUCGCUUCCUGCCCAAGGACGUGGACCCCAGCCUUUGCACCCACCUCAUCUACGCCUUCGCUGGCAUGACCAACCACCAGCUGAGCACCAUUGAGUGGAAUGACGAGACUCUGUACCAGGAGUUCAAUGGCCUGAAGAAGAUGAAUCCCAAGCUGAAGACCCUGUUAGCCAUCGGAGGCUGGAAUUUCGGCACUCAGAAGUUCACAGAUAUGGUAGCCACGGCCAACAACCGUCAGACCUUUGUCAACUCAGCCAUCAGGUUUCUGCGGAAAUACAGCUUUGACGGCCUUGACCUUGACUGGGAGUACCCAGGAAGCCGGGGGAGCCCUGCCGUAGACAAGGAGCGCUUCACAGCCCUGGUACAGGACUUGGCCAAUGCCUUCCAGCAGGAAGCCCAGACCUCAGGGAAGGAACGCCUUCUUCUGAGUGCAGCGGUUCCAGCUGGGCGGACCUAUGUGGAUGCUGGAUACGAAGUGGACAAAAUCACCCAGAACCUGGAUUUUGUCAGCCUUAUGGCCUACGACUUCCAUGGCUCUUGGGAGAAGGUCACGGGACAUAACAGCCCCCUCUACAAGAGGCAAGAGGAGAGUGGUGCAGCAGCCAGCCUCAAUGUGGAUGCUGCUGUGCAACUGUGGCUGCAGAAGGGGACCCCUGCCAGCAAGCUGAUUCUUGGCAUGCCUACCUACGGACGCUCCUUCACCCUGGCCUCCUCAUCAGACACCAGAGUGGGGGCCCCAGCCACAGGGUCUGGCACUCCCGGCCCCUUCACCAAGGAAGGAGGCAUGCUGGCCUACUAUGAGGUCUGCUCCUGGAAGGGGGCCACCAAACAGAGAAUCAAGGACCAGGAGGUGCCCUACAUCUUCCGGGACAACCAGUGGGUGGGCUUUGAUGAUGUGGAGAGCUUCAAAACCAAGGUCAGCUAUCUGAAGCAGAAGGGACUGGGCGGGGCCAUGGUCUGGGCACUGGACUUAGACGACUUUGCCAGCUUCUCCUGCAACCAGGGCCGAUACCCCCUCAUCCAGACACUGCAGCGGGAACUGAAUGGGUAAAGCCUUAACUGCCUGUCACAUGUGUAGCCAGGUGUUGUCUGUGGCACUGUGCUUCAGCUAUAGGUCUUCCAUACGUGCCUUCAGGCACCCCAGAGCUUGAAGUUCCAACACCAGGUCAGCCCUCUGAACCUGAGCAUGGCCCCAGCCCUGGACAAGACACGUUCUGCCAGGGCAAAGCUGAUGGGCUCUAUCCCAAUCCUCGGGAACGGUCCAGCUUCUACAGCUGUGCAGGGGGGCGGCUGUUCCAGCAGAGCUGCCCGACCGGCCUGGUGUUCAGCAGCUCCUGCAAAUGCUGCACCUGGAAUUGAGUCCCUAAGGCCCCUCCAGUCCCAGCUUUGAGGCUGGGCCCAGGAUCACUCUACAGCCUGCCUCCUGGGUUUUCCCUGGGGGCUGCCAUCUGGCUCCUGCAGGCCUCUCUGUGGUCUUCCUUUAUGCAGGCUUUCUGCUCUCAGCCUUGCCUCCUUUUUUCUGGGUCUCCUGGGCUGCCCCUUUCACUUGCAAAAUAAAUCUUUGGUUUGUGCCCCUCUCCCCAAAGAUGUGGUGACUUAAGAGGCUCUCUAAGCACACUGUUGACUCCAAAACAUCCGCAGAUCAGAGCCAGGUGGGAAGGUGGUCCGUGCAGGAUGUGCCAGGCCCUGUGGCAGGUCUUGCCUCAUGAGUCCAUAUGCCAGUGGGCAGUUUCCAGUACACAGGUGAUGGCAGCCAGGGCACGGCCCCAAGUGCAACACGUUCUUUGGUUAUUGGCCCAGAAGCCUGGAAACAGGAGCUUCUGCGGACCUUCACGCACGUGUUAUUCCCAAAAUGCCACUAGAUGGCAGCAGAGAAGAACUUUUCCCUGAUUUAAGUGCUCCGUGAGCAGCCACUCAGCAUUACACUAAGAAUUCAGACCCCUGGUAUUCAGUGCUCUUCGAGAUAAACCCUGUUUGGGCCCUUGGCAGGCCCUAUCUCACCUACUGGCCCCGUUCACCAAAUGAAGAAGGAACAACGAUUAUUCUCACUUUACAGCAUUUAAACUGAAGACUAAUUCUAACCAAUUCUGAGUCCAGAACCAAGGCCUGGAACGGGCCAGAGGGCAUGCACACGGUGUCCUGGUUAAAUAAAGUCAUCCCGACAGUC